GCGACCAAUGUUUUUUUCUAAAUCACACAUUUCACACUGCCCCCAGCCCCCACAGCCCGUCUCCACUCUCCAAGAUCCCAACCCAAUCCGUAGACGGCGAACAUGGGCCGCCGCCGCCGCCAGCCCUCCUCGCCGUCGCCGGCGGCAGAGCAUCCGCUGGAAGACGACGACCUACUGCGCGAGAUCCUCCUCCGCCUACCCCCACAGCCGCCCUACCUCCUGCGCGCCUCCCUCGUCGCCAAGCGCUGGCGACACAUCGCCAUCGACCCCAAGUUCCUCCACCGCUUCCGCACCGACCACGGGAAGCCUCCCCUCCUUGGGGACUUCUCCCUACAAAUCAACGGAAAACUCUCGUUCAGAUCCACCCUGGACCUGCCCUACCGCAUCCCUCCCGACCACUUCUCCCUACAAGUCAACGGCCGCGAGCCAUGGAGGUUGGUCGACUGCCGCCACGGACGCGUGCUCCUCAUCAACAGCGAGAUGCGUCAGGUCAUUGUGUGGGACCCCUUGACUGGCGACCGCUCCCUCUUGUCCGCUCCGCCGGCGUUUGACGACAUGCACACUGCGGCGGUGCUCUGCGCUGCCGGCGAGCAGGGCCACGCUCAUGGUGCCUGCCACUCGAGCCCAUUUAAAGUGGUCGUGGUAGACAGCUGCGAGCACGGGGAUGAAACCGUCGUCUUCGUGAGUGUUUACUCAUCAGAGACUGGCGUAUGGAGUGAUCUCCUCUCAACACCGCUUGCAUCUAUGGGUAUUGCUGUUGGUAAUCGCAGCACACUUGUUGGUAACACCUUUCACUGGUUGCUUCUGAUGAGUAACAACAUACUUGAGUUUGAUUUGGAUAGACAGACGCUAGCUGUGAUCAAUAGGCCACCUGGUGUUCGUUCGGAUGACAGUGCUUGGAUCAUCCAGGCAGAUGAUGGCGGUGUUGGCUUCUCUGCUUUGUCGUGCGCCCACUGCCAGUAUGUCUACUGCUACCACCAACCCUGUUUCCAAAUGUGGGAUAGGAAGGCCAAUUACUAUGGUGUUGCCGUAUGGGUGUUGAGGAAAUCCAUUGGACUGCAGAAGCUACUUGGGUUGGGGUUUAAGAUUGAGAGGAACUGGUCACAUAUAGUGCGUUAUGCUGAGCAUGUUCAUGCUUUAUUUUUAUGGGUGCACUCAUCUCUCUUCAUCGUUCAGCUUGAGUCAAUGCAGCCCAAGGAGCUUUUUAAAAGUGAUCCUAUGUACACCUAUUAUCCUUUCACAAGUUUCUAUGAUGAAGGUAACUGUUGGGAUUCAAUUUAUUUUCCAUAUAUGUUUGAUGAAAUAACUUUACUGACUCUACUUCUGAAGUGUUCGAAAUCUCCCAGUGAACUUAUAGCCAUGUUCUUUUCUAUGUUAGCGACUUGAGCAUUAGCUCUCUGCGAAACUACCAUGGUAGUGUACUGUUGUUCUUUUAUACCGCUACAUGUGAAUUGCCGAGUCAGGAAACAAGGCAUCUUAUAGGAGAUGGAAUGAUACUUCUGUCGUUAGUUUCUUGUACAACAUUUUUGUUAUUAGCUGGACCCUGCAAUUUUAUAUGUCUGAUUUCCUUGAUGCUUUGGUUUUCUUUUCCUGUACUUGUGUACAGUACAAUCACGUCAUAUCUGGCUAUAAAAGAGAGAAAUUAGUUAGAUAAUAUAGGACCAAUUGAUUUCUGCACCGGCUUGAGGCCUUUCUCACUUGCUAAAGUAGCAUUUACAUUUGAACUCUAUUAACUCUAUAGUUUCCUUGUUUGACAGAUCAAUUCACUUUGACAUUACCAAUGUUAUUUUUGUGUGGCCAUGAAUUCUGUGGUUGCCUCCAGAUUUAAUAAACUACUCAAUGCCUAAUAGAUGUAAAAUGGUGAUGAUCAUACUGGGGAGUUUCAGUCAGCAAUAAUACAAGAAAAGUUGCUUUUGUCCUCCACGUAAUUAUUCUAUGGUAGAUUGGUAGUUUCUAUGUGUAUACAACUACAUUACUGAUCUUAUAGCAUUCUUAGGUUGAAGCAUGAUAUGUCCAAUUUGUAAUGGGCAACAUGAUACACUGAAUACUUAGGUUGAAGCAUGAUAUGGCCAAUUUGUAACCUGACUAGUCCAUUCAAGCUUAAAACGAGUCACACGGUUGCAUCUAAAGAAUCUACGUUGUUUUCAAGAUAGUUUUGUAUUUCAGGUAUCAGUGGUUUGAAGCAGAAGUAGUUUACUGGUGUACUGCAACAUGGAAUGCCGACUCUUGCGGAGUGACUAUGACCAUCUAUGGUACUCCCUCGUGUAAAAAACACUCUUAUAUUAUGGGAUGGAGGGAGUAGUUGUCAGCUUGCUUAACUUGUAGUAGAAACUAUCUAGUGCUGGUGUGUUAUUUUCAGCUAUCCUAUAUGCAGUCGUCAAAUGAACUCUGAAAUGCCUAGAUCUAUUCGGCAGUGUUGAGUAUUGAUUUUUUCAGUAGAUUGGAAUCUCUUCCAGUUUGAUAUGCAAAUAUUUUGGUUUGAGCCUCA